GACGUAGGGCGCGAGCGUUGUCCGGAUUUAUUGGGCGUAAAGAGCUCGUAGGCGGCUUGUCGCGUCGACUGUGAAAACCCGCGGCUCAACUGCGGGCCUGCAGCCGAUACGGGCAGGCUAGAGUUCGGUAGGGGAGACUGGAAUUCCUGGUGUAGCGGUGAAAUGCGCAGAUAUCAGGAGGAACACCGGUGGCGAAGGCGGCAUCCUGGACCGGCAUUGACGCUGAGGAGCGAAAGCUAGGGGAGCAAACGGG
rnacentral:rRNA from 1 species